ACUAGAAAUAUUGGGACAUGCCCAAACUAGAUCUAGCAAAAUUGAAACUAAAGAGUAAAAGCGAUAAAGAUAAACAUGUCACUAGUCCUCGAAGAAUGAGGACUCACCACUGAUGUUGCUGAACUGGAGACCGGGAAUCGAUCUAAUCGUGAUCUAGAUACUGGGAACCUGAACCUACAUUACGAAAAGAUGUAGCGCACGUAUGCGUCAGUACUUGAAAGGUACUGAGCAUGCAGGAUAGAGUAAAGCUGAAAUAACAUAUAACUGAACAAAGCAAUAAAGCAAUGAAAUAAUCUGAACAUGAUAUA
rnacentral:lncRNA from 1 species